GGCCGGAAGUAUCGGCGCUUCUUGGAAGCGUGUCUCCAGUUACAACUCCUGCACCCGACCGGUGUGAGACCGAAAAGUGUCUCUCCUCAUUGCGUGGUGGCGCACGUCGGUAAUCUCCGCAUCAAACAGGCCAAUUAGCCGAAUCUUUAAAAACACAGCUUCCAGAAAAAAAUAUGAAGUUUCAUUCUAAGAACAGUGAAAACUAGUGGGUGGGUGUCUGAAGACGAAAACCAAGGGGCAAGAGAUAUGACUCAGAAGUUAAAAGCACUUUUGACUCAUCCAGACUCCCAAUACCCACAUGGUGGCUCUUAAACGGCUGUGACUCCAAGUUGCGCUCUCUUUGGACCUAUGUACAGGCAAAACACUCAUACUCAAAAUUUUAAAAAGAGUAAGCCCAAGAAAUACGGGUUUUGUCCUUUUACAAAGGGUGAUUUUGUAAUUCAAAGAUUUAAAAGCAGUCAUUUAUGGCAAUCAUCUGUGGGAGGCUAAGGCAGGGGGAUCCCUGCAGGUUAAAGACAACUGGCCUAUUGAAUGAAUUUUAGUAUUGCCUAGGCUGGAAUGAGACUCAGAAUGGGCAAGGAAAUAGUGUUUAAAUCCAGUCUGCUGAAAUGACAAGAUGGCCCAGCAGGUAAAGGUACCUGUCUCUGAGGCACAGGACCUGAGCUCAGUCUCUCGGAUCCCUAUGGCAAAAGAGGACUCACUCUCAUAAGUCAUUCUUUGACCUCUGGCAACAAGCCAUGGAUAUGCACACAAAAAAUAAAGGUCCUCCACUCAACAGGUUGCUGCUUGGGACUCUUAUUCCUACCAGUUUAGAUUAAAAACACCACAACCGGGUUGGAGAGAUGGCUCAGCGGUUAAGAGCACCCGACUGCUCUUCCAGAGGUCCUGAGUUCAAUUCCCAGCAACCACAUGGUGGCUCACAACCAUCUGUAAAGAGAUCUGAUGCCCUUUUCUGGUGUAUCUGAAGACAGCUACAGUGUACUUAUAUAUAAUAAAUGAAUAAAUCUUAAAAAAAAAAAACAAAAAAA